rnacentral:rRNA from 1 species
UGGGGAAUAUUGGACAAUGGGGGAAACCCUGAUCCAGCAAUGCCGCGUGAGUGAUGAAGGCCUUCGGGUUGUAAAGCUCUUUUGGCAGGGACGAUGAUGACGGUACCUGCAGAAUAAGCCACGGCUAACUUCGUGCCAGCAGCCGCGGUAAUACGAAGGUGGCUAGCGUUGUUCGGAUUUACUGGGCGUAAAGGGAGCGUAGGCGGUGAAAUAAGUCAGAUGUGAAAGCCCAAGGCUUAACCUUGGAAUUGCAUUUGAAACUGUUUUGCUAGAGUGUGGGAGAGGAUAGCGGAAUUCCUAGUGUAGAGGUGAAAUUCGUAGAUAUUAGGAAGAACACCAGUGGCGAAGGCGGCUAUCUGGACCACAACUGACGCUGAGGCUCGAAAGCAUGGGGAUCAAA